AGCGAGAUAACCCUUUGUCAUCAGCUACCCGCCCCCACCCCCCAAUAGCACGACCCAUUGUGAUGAUUAGCGACAUCCGAGGCUUCCGAUCACACCAAGGCAAUGGUUGCGUCCGGAGCCCUUCUGACGCUUGAGCUCCGACCCUCCCCCAACCCCGCUUCCAAGGUACUGAUUGGCUAGCCGGGGCUGGGGGCGGACUGACUUCCGCUCCGCAGCGACGUCACCAGUUGGCCCCGCCCUCGUGUCAGGGCGGCUGGGAGCCUAGCCCGAGGCAGCCAUUUGUAUGCGGCUGCGGGAUUGGCCGCCCGGCUCCCGCGAGGGGGAGGGGAAGGAGGCAGAGCGCACUCGCGCGUGCGUGAGCUGGCGCGCGAGAAAGGGCCCGGUCGCGCCGAGGCUCGAGCGGCCGUCGCCAUUUUGUAGGGUUCUCUCUGACGCUGGAGCCGCCGCCACCGCCGCCGCCACCCGGAGGCUCUUGUCAGGAUGGUGAAGCUGUUCAUCGGAAAUCUGCCCCGGGAGGCCACAGAGCAGGAGAUCCGCUCACUCUUCGAGCAGUAUGGGAAGGUGCUGGAAUGUGACAUCAUUAAGAACUACGGCUUUGUGCACAUAGAGGACAAGACGGCGGCCGAGGAUGCCAUACGCAACCUGCACCACUACAAGCUGCAUGGGGUGAACAUCAAUGUGGAAGCCAGCAAGAAUAAGAGCAAAGCCUCCACCAAGUUGCAUGUGGGCAACAUCAGUCCCACUUGUACCAACCAAGAGCUUCGCGCCAAGUUUGAGGAGUAUGGUCCAGUCAUCGAAUGUGACAUCGUGAAAGAUUAUGCCUUCGUGCACAUGGAGCGGGCAGAGGAUGCAGUGGAGGCCAUCAGGGGUCUUGACAACACAGAGUUUCAAGGCAAAAGAAUGCACGUGCAGUUGUCCACCAGCCGGCUUCGGACUGCCCCUGGGAUGGGAGACCAGAGUGGCUGCUAUCGGUGUGGGAAAGAGGGGCACUGGUCAAAAGAGUGUCCAGUAGAUCGUACAGGCCGUGUGGCGGACUUUACCGAGCAGUAUAAUGAACAGUAUGGAGCAGUGCGCACGCCUUACACCAUGGGCUACGGGGAAUCCAUGUAUUACAACGACGCAUAUGGAGCACUCGACUACUAUAAGCGUUAUCGGGUCCGCUCUUACGAGGCAGUGGCAGCGGCGGCAGCAGCUUCUGCGUACAACUACGCGGAGCAGACCAUGUCCCAUCUGCCUCAAGUCCAGAGCACAGCUGUGACCAGUCACCUCAACUCCACUUCUGUCGAUCCCUACGACAGACACCUGUUGCCGAACUCAGGUGCUGCCGCCACUUCGGCUGCUAUGGCUGCUGCUGCCGCCAACAGUUCCUCCUAUUAUGGAAGGGACCGGAGCCCCCUGCGUCGUGCUGCAGCUGUGCUCCCCACAGUUGGAGAGGGCUACGGUUAUGGGCCAGAGAGUGAGCUGUCUCAGGCUUCAGCAGCUGCACGGAAUUCUCUGUAUGACAUGGCCCGGUAUGAGCGAGAGCAGUAUGUGGACCGAGCGCGGUACUCAGCCUUUUAAAAACUGGAGGUGUGAACCUCAAAUGGACUGAAUAACCCUGAGUUGGUUGCAGUCCCAGGAGCCUGAUGUUAAUGAGGCUGCCAGGAUGAAAUACUCCAGAACUGUUGGGGAUCUGAAUUUGGGUCUCACCCUAGCAGAACUGAUUCAAGAACGUCACAACUUUUGAAGUCGGUUGGUACAGAUCAAGACCAAGAUUUGGCCCUUUGUCUGUAAUAAGUAGAGGAACUUGGUGACGGGACCAGGGCCCUUGUGCUCGGAGCCAAGCUGCUCUCCAGGCAUUGUGUAAGCCUCUUGUGUUGUGCUCUCUUUCAGGUAGGAUAAUUGCGGACUGAACCCUCGGGCUGCGGUCAUAUAUGAGAACUUGCUCCGCGCGGUCCCCUUUGCCGGGAUGUUUCCAUUGCUUCAUGUUUCAGUAAACAAAGGAGUUUGUGACCAACUAUGUUUUCUUUCUUAAUUUAAUUCUUCUAAGUUGACUUUUCUUUCCUCCUGAUACUAGUCUCUGUAGCCUUUCACUCUAUUCCUUAUAUUCUCAGCCUCUGAGCAGCCCUAGGUAAGGAUUAUGCUGGCAUCCCCUUUUUCCUGUACAGUGGAACCCCUCUUAUCUUGCUUUCCUUAGGAGUUGAACCCUUCUCCCUGUCUACCUGCAACAUCUCCUUUCCCUUUAAAAUGACCAUGUAGUGGCAAGCGACCUUUUACUCUUCUCUGUUAGCUCUGGACUCUAACAUUGAAGCUAAUCUUCUGAAACUGCUAGGACCAUUGGGGUUUUGGGGGAGGGGGGUUGUUUUGUUUGUUUUGUUUUUUUAUGUCUGACCUGUGAUCGUGGUACAGCAUUAGCUGAAAUUUAGCCUUGUUUUAUUCCACUCCUCCCACUUUUUUUUUUUAAUAUUUUGACAAAUAAACGUUUCUAACACUUAA